rnacentral:lncRNA from 1 species
GAGAAGAGGGGCAAAGGGGAGGCGGGUAAGGCAGGCCCCACCCAGCCCAUCCGCCCUGAGGGAGUUGGGGAGUUUGGACGCACCGGUGAACAGGAUCCCCCAGGAAAUGGGGAGGAAGCCUAGAGAGAAGGGCCAGAUCGCAGGCCAAGACCCCCGCCUGUGUCUCUGUUCACUGGCAGCGGAGCGAGGAGAGAGGUGUGGGCUGACCUGAAGCCAGCGCCUCCUGUGUCCCCAGCUGAGCCCUGCACGGGAUUGGCCAAAUGUGCUGCUCUGCGGCCGCCCUGCUGCCCCGUCCCUGGGUGGAGCUGGGGUCUGGGACAGUGAAGAUGGCUCCCACAACUGAGGGGCACUGGGUACCAAGAGCCUGCCAGACCCUGGGCCACCCAGAAACACGCUCUGAUAGUGCAGCUGUGAGCACUGGCCUGCGUCCCCUCUACCCAGCCGACCUACGAGGCUCAGGGUGCUUGGGGGCCCAUCAAGGACAUAGUCCUAGCUGCCAACUCAUCCAGGCAGCCUGCACAACCCCUGGCUCCCCUCCACCGGCCACCUGCCCCCCUGCACAGGCAGGAUCCGGCCUCGCCCACCCACAGGCCUGCACCUCCGGGCCCACGGCAGCAAGAUUCCUAUCUUGGGGAUGCUUUCCUCCCUUUGCCGAGAGACUCACCCCCCCACACCUUGCCUCUCUUCAAGGAGCCGAAAAUGCAGCUGCCGACUGAUUUGCUGCGGAGCUAAAAAUAACUGCCAGGCUCCAGCCAGGGCCCAGGAAAAUAUCCCAUUGCUAGGAGACAACCGUUGCCGGGAGACCGCCAUUGCUAGGCGACGCGUGUUGCUAUGGUGAUGGCUGGGCCCUGAGUCAUCCUUAGCCUUGAUAGGGGGCGAGCCAGGCAGGGAGCAGAGCUGGAGGGCAUCAGAGAAAUCCCACCGCCCAUGGCACUCAGGGCACCCCUAACGGCUGUGAGGUUCUCAUGCCUAUGGGUGCCCAUUCUGGCUGUGGAGGGGUCGGGACGGCCAAACAUACCCACAGCCUGCUGCUUCACAUGGAUGAUCCUGGGUGCUCUCGGGCUGUGCUCCGGGCAGGGGGCAGGGGCAGUGUGGGGGGGGAUGGUGGCGUGGCCAUCUGGCCCCCGGAGCAAUCACUUUGCUCUCCAGUGUGGGGAUAUCACCACAGGUGCAGAGCUGAAGUGAAUGUGGGUCCCCUUGCAGUCCUCCAAAGUCUCAGGGCAAGAUGUACCAGCAGCCUCUGGUCCUCAUCCCCAUGGCUCCAGAGUGCCCUCCCAGCCACCUAGAUGGGAGACUCCUCAGUGCUGAGGCAUCAAGGCAAGGGGUGGACCCAGUGAAGUAUGCUCCUGGUAGGGGUUCUGCAGGAGAGGGGCUCUCCAGGUGAGGGGUGCUCCAGGUGAGGGGUGCUCCAGGUGAGGGGGUGCUCCAGAUGAGGGUGCUCUGGGUAACAGGGUGCUCCAGGUAACAGGGUGCUCCAGGUGAGGGUUCUCCAGGUGAGAGGGUGCUCCAGAUGAGGGUUUUCCAGGUGAGGGUGCCCCGGGUAACAGGGUGCUCCAGGUGAGGGUUCUCCAGGUGAGAGGAUGCUCCAGCUGAGGGUGCUUCAGGUGAGGGGUGCUCCAGGAAAGGAGUGCUCUGGAUGAGGGUUCUCCAGGUGAGGGGUGCUCCAGGUGCCCUCCGGAGCCCAGGCACAUACUGCCUCCCAUAUCAGUCUCCAGGACCAAUGGAGGGGUGCGGGCCUGAGCAGUAUCCACAUCCCCCAGAGGAGAUCGAAGUCUGCUGAGCAGCCCCCUUUGUCCAAGCCACUUCCCUCUGGGGUGUGAGCUGUUCUCCAAAGGUAUCCUCUACAAGGGCCUCCCGCCACAGGAGGCGAUCCAAACUGCUGGUGCCAGUCACCUUUCAUGCUGCUGACGCAUCGCUGUCUCCCUCAUUCGCCAAAUUUGCCAUGCACCUGUGACGUACUGAGCUGGAGGCUCAGUGCCCAGGGACAGGGUGGUGGGGAAGAAGACCGCACCCUGGCCCUCAGCAGGCACAGUCAGCCAAUAGCUCAUCAGACGCACCAUCAGACACCAGGCAGACACAGGC